AGUGAACGCUGGCGGUAGGCCUAACACAUGCAAGUCGAACGGCAGCACAGUAAGAGCUUGCUCUUACGGGUGGCGAGUGGCGGACGGGUGAGGAAUACAUCGGAAUCUACUUUUUCGUGGGGGAUAACGUAGGGAAACUUACGCUAAUACCGCAUACGACCUACGGGUGAAAGCAGGGGAUCUUCGGACCUUGCGCGAUUGAAUGAGCCGAUGUCGGAUUAGUUAGUUGGCGGGGUAAAGGCCCACCAAGGCGACGAUCCGUAGCUGGUCUGAGAGGAUGAUCAGCCACACUGGAACUCAGACACGGUCCAUACUCCUACGGGAGGCAGCAGUGUGGAAUAUUAGACAAUGGGCGCAAGCCUCAUCCAGCCAUACCGCGUGCGUGAAGAAGGCCUUCGGUUUGUAAAGCCCUUUUGUUGUGAAAGAAAAGCAUCAGGUUAAUACCCCGCUGUUCUGACGGUACCCAAAGAAUAAGCACCGGCUAACUUCGUG
rnacentral:rRNA from 1 species